rnacentral:rRNA from 1 species
UGAAUUCGUAGUCAUAUGCUUGUCUCAAAGAUUAAGCCAUGCAUGUCUAAGUAUAAGCAACUAUACCGUGAAACUGCGAAUGGCUCAUUAAAUCAGUUAUCGUUUAUUUGAUAGUACCUUACUACUUGGAUAACCGUGGUAAUUCUAGAGCUAAUACAUGCUAAAAACCUCGACUUCGGAAGGGGUGUAUUUAUUAGAUAAAAAACCAAUGCCCUUCGGGGCUUCUUGGCGAUUCAUAAUAACUUAACGAAUCGCAUGGCCUUGUGCCGGCGAUGGCUCAUUCAAAUUUCUGCCCUAUCAACUUUCGAUGUUAAUGUAUUGGAUUAACAUGGUUUCAACGGGUAUCGGGGAAUUAGGGUUCUAUUCCGGAGAGGGAGCCUGAGAAACGGCUACCACAUCCAAGGAAGGCAGCAGGCGCGCAAAUUACCCAAUCCCGACACGGGGAGGUAGUGACAAUAAAUACUGAUACAGGGCUCUUUUGGGUCUUGUAAUUGGAAUGAGUACAAUUUAAAUCCCU